rnacentral:rRNA from 1 species
CCGCGAGGCUAAGCCAAUCCCACAAAUCUGUUCUCAGUUCGGAUCGCAGUCUGCAACUCGACUGCGUGAAGCUGGAAUCGCUAGUAAUCGCGGAUCAGCAUGCCGCGGUGAAUACGUUCCCGGGCCUUGUACACACCGCCCGUCACACCACGAGAGUUUGUAACACCCGAAGUCGGUGAGGUAACCUUUGGAGCCAGCCGCCGAA